ACAACUUUCCUACCAUCUUGGAGGCAGAGGAGAGAGGUGCCAAGAGGAGAAGUGCACCGGCUCCGGAGAAAGUACAAAUUUCUACCUCUCAUCUCUGGAAAAAGUCCAUACUUGAGGAAAAGCAGGGAAGAAACAGAAGCAAGGUCAUGUGCUCCGUGGUGGGGAAUGGCUCUGCACCUUCUGAUGGAAAGAAAGCUUUACAAGACACAGGUCCAAGUUCUGUAUCUGGUGGCCAGUCUGUAAAUUGGCACUACAGAGACUUAGAGGUCACGGUAUUGUCUUUAAUUCAGUGCUCGUUUAUGUUGUAUGGAUUCGUACUUCUGUUUUCAUGUGUUAGAGUUAAGAUUUUGUGGUUUUGGUAUCUGAGGAGCUGAGGCUUCAGCGAAUCAAUUGUAAAGAGAUGGCUUUUGUCUUCUCUCAAAGUAAUGUAAGUAAAACCUAUUGACUGCCCAG
rnacentral:lncRNA from 1 species